CAAGUCGAACGAACUCUGGUAUUGAUUGGUGCUUGCAUCAUGAUUUACAUUUGAGUGAGUGGCGAACUGGUGAGUAACACGUGGGAAACCUGCCCAGAAGCGGGGGAUAACACCUGGAAACAGAUGCUAAUACCGCAUAACAACUUGGACCGCAUGGUCCGAGCUUGAAAGAUGGCUUCGGCUAUCACUUUUGGAUGGUCCCGCGGCGUAUUAGCUAGAUGGUGGGGUAACGGCUCACCAUGGCAAUGAUACGUAGCCGACCUGAGAGGGUAAUCGGCCACAUUGGGACUGAGACACGGCCCAAACUCCUACGGGAGGCAGCAGUAGGGAAUCUUCCACAAUGGACGAAAGUCUGAUGGAGCAACGCCGCGUGAGUGAAGAAGGGUUUCGGCUCGUAAAACUCUGUUGUUAAAGAAGAACAUAUCUGAGAGUAACUGUUCAGGUAUUGACGGUAUUUAACCAGAAAGCCACGGCUAACUACGUGCCAGCAGCCGCGGUAAUACGUAGGUGGCAAGCGUUGUCCGGAUUUAUUGGGCGUAAAGCGAGCGCAGGCGGUUUUUUAAGUCUGAUGUGAAAGCCUUCGGCUCAACCGAAGAAGUGCAUCGGAAACUGGGAAACUUGAGUGCAGAAGAGGACAGUGGAACUCCAUGUGUAGCGGUGAAAUGCGUAGAUAUAUGGAAGAACACCAGUGGCGAAGGCGGCUGUCUGGUCUGUAACUGACGCUGAGGCUCGAAAGUAUGGGUAGCAAACAGGAUUAGAUACCCUGGUAGUCCAUACCGUAAACGAUGAAUGCUAAGUGUUGGAGGGUUUCCGCCCUUCAGUGCUGCAGCUAACGCAUUAAGCAUUCCGCCUGGGGAGUACGGCCGCAAGGCUGAAACUCAAAGGAAUUGACGGGGGCCCGCACAAGCGGUGGAGCAUGUGGUUUAAUUCGAAGCUACGCGAAGAACCUUACCAGGUCUUGACAUACUAUGCAAAUCUAAGAGAUUAGACGUUCCCUUCGGGGACAUGGAUACAGGUGGUGCAUGGUUGUCGUCAGCUCGUGUCGUGAGAUGUUGGGUUAAGUCCCGCAACGAGCGCAACCCUUAUUAUCAGUUGCCAGCAUUAAGUUGGGCACUCUGGUGAGACUGCCGGUGACAAACCGGAGGAAGGUGGGGAUGACGUCAAAUCAUCAUGCCCCUUAUGACCUGGGCUACACACGUGCUACAAUGGAUGGUACAACGAGUUGCGAACUCGCGAGAGUAAGCUAAUCUCUUAAAGCCAUUCUCAGUUCGGAUUGUAGGCUGCAACUCGCCUACAUGAAGUCGGAAUCGCUAGUAAUCGCGGAUCAGCAUGCCGCGGUGAAUACGUUCCCGGGCCUUGUACACACCGCCCGUCACACCAUGAGAGUU
rnacentral:rRNA from 2 species